AAGACCUUGCGCUUUUGGAGCGGCCGAUGUCUGAUUAGCUUGUUGGUGAGGUAAAGGCUUACCAAGGCUUCGAUCAGUAGCUGGUCUGAGAGGACGGCCAGCCACACUGGGACUGAGACACGGCCCAGACUCCUACGGGAGGCAGCAGUGGGGAAUUUUGGACAAUGGGGGCAACCCUGAUCCAGCCAUGCCGCGUGAGUGAAGAAGGCCUUCGGGUUGUAAAGCUCUUUCAGCCGGAACGAAACGGUUACGGUUAAUACCCGUGACUACUGACGGUACCGGAAGAAGAGGCACCGGCUAACUACGUGCCAGCAGCCGCGGUAAUACGUAGGGUGCAAGCGUUAAUCGGAAUUACUGGGCGUAAAGCGUGCGCAGGUGGUUUUGUAAGUCAGAUGUGAAAUCCCCGGGCUUAACCUGGGAACU
rnacentral:rRNA from 1 species